rnacentral:rRNA from 1 species
GACGAACGCUGGCGGCGUGCUUAACACAUGCAAGUCGAACGGAAAGGCCCUGCUUUUGUGGGGUGCUCGAGUGGCGAACGGGUGAGUAACACGUGAGUAACCUGCCCUUGACUUUGGGAUAACUUCAGGAAACUGGGGCUAAUACCGGAUAGGAGCUCCUGCUGCAUGGUGGGGGUUGGAAAGUUUCGGCGGUUGGGGAUGGACUCGCGGCUUAUCAGCUUGUUGGUGGGGUAGUGGCUUACCAAGGCUUUGACGGGUAGCCGGCCUGAGAGGGUGACCGGUCACAUGGGGACUGGGAUACGGCCCAGACGACUACGGGAGGCAGCAGUGGGGAAUAUUGCACAAUGGGCGGAAGCCUGAUGCAGCAACGCCGCGUGCGGGAUGCCGGCCUUCGGGUUGUAAACCGCUUUCGCCUGUGACGAAGCGUGAGUGACGGUAAUGGGUAAAGAAGCACCGGCUAACUACG